AAGUCGUAACAAGGUAACCGUAGGUGAACCUGCGGUUGGAUCAUUAGUGGUUUUUACGCAGCGCUGUUGUAGUGUUUCUGUGUGGUGUUUGUGGUUGGUCUUUGAGUUUGUUGUUGGUUGUUUGUCUGUUUUGUGCAUUGCCUUGUGCGGUGCCUUGUGCGGUGCCUGGCAGUACAAACGAUCGACGGCAACACUCGGACCAGACCCAAGCCCUUGCAGACAAUAGACGUCUUUGCUUGCUUUGAUGAAACCAAAUCAAAAACAACUUUUGACAACGGAUCUCUUGGCUCUC
rnacentral:misc_RNA from 1 species